rnacentral:rRNA from 1 species
CAGUAGCCGCGGUAAUACAGAGGGUGCGAGCGUUAAUCGGAAUUACUGGGCGUAAAGCGUGCGUAGGCGGCUUUUUAAGUCAGAUGUGAAAUCCCUGAGCUUAACUUAGGAAUUGCAUUUGAUACUGGGAAGCUAGAGUAUUGGAGAGGAUGGUAGAAUUCCAGGUGUAGCGGUGAAAUGCGUAGAGAUCUGGAGGAAUACCGAUGGCGAAGGCAGCCAUCUGGCCUAAUACUGACGCUGAGGUGCGAAAGCAUGGGGAGCAAACAGGAUUAGAUACCCCUGUAGUCCCUGUCUCUUAUAC